GAGCUGGUGGUGCGCACGGUAAGACACGCAGGGUUGAAGAUUCUGUUUGUGUAGGUUCGAAUCCUACUCAGCUCA
rnacentral:tRNA from 1 species